AAUUUGUAUAGAUAGAAUUUGGGGGGUUCGAAUAUAAAACCAACUGAUGCAUUUCACCAAUUGGGCUUUGGAGCAAGACAACCCGUUUGCUUGGCCCAUCUCUUCAUACGUGACAAGCUUCAAGAACUCUCAAGCAAUCAUGUAUCGUAUAACCCUAGCCGCACAUACUCUCCUUUCCCAACUGAAAUCACGCGAUUGACCAAAAUUCCGUGAAAGUCGUCGCCUAAUCAGGCAAUUCAUCUCCAUCAUCUCUUCAAAUCCUAUCCGUUCAUUAUGGCUUCUUCAUCUGUGGUCAGAAACAAGUCAAAAAUUCCAUGUUGGUUCAAAGCUGAAGUACACCCUGAUAAGGAGGAAAUUUAUAUGUGUCCUGUUUUUGCUAAAAAGUAUGCAUCCAAUAUUAACUUCA